GAGGGUAUAGUUCAGUGGUAGAGUGCCUGCUUAGCAUGCAUGAGGUCCUGGGUUCAGUUCCCAGUGCCUCCA
rnacentral:tRNA from 1 species